ensembl:snRNA U4 U4 spliceosomal RNA
AGCUUUGCGCAGUGGCAAUAUUGUAGUCAAAGAGGUCCACCCGAGGUGCGAUUAUUGCUAAUUGAAAACUUUUCCCAAUACCCCGCCAUGACGAUUUGAAAUAUAGUCAGCACUGGCAAUUUUUGACGGUCUCCACGGAGA